GCUCAGUUGGUAAAGCACAAGGCUCUUAACCUUUUGGACGUGGAUUCAAGUCCCAU
rnacentral:tRNA from 1 species